rnacentral:misc_RNA from 1 species
GAAAUGCGAAAAGUAAUGUGAAUUGCAGAAUUCAGUGAAUCAUCGAAUCUUUGAACGCAUCUUGCGCUCCUUGGUAUUCCUUGGAGCAUGCCUGUUUGAGUAUCAUGAAAUCUUCAAAGUAAAUCUUUUGUUAACUCAAUUGGUUUCUACUUUGGUAUUGGAGGUCUUUGCAGCUUCACACCUGCUCCUCUUUGUUCAUUAGCUGGAUCUCAGUGUUAUGCUUGGUUCCACUCGGCGUGAUAAGUUAUCUAUCGCUGAGGACACUGUAAAAGGUGGCCAAGGUAAAUGCAGAUGAACCGCUUCUAAUAGUCCAUUGACUUGGACAAUACUUUUAUGAUCUGAUCUCAAAUCAGGUAGGACUACCCGCUGAACUUAAGC